UUAACUAUUAAAUAGUACUCAGACGUCACUAAAUUUCAGAGUUUGGGUCCUCUGGCAGGCACUCUCCAGCCGAAGCCGGUGCUCUCACCUUGCGGUGCGCGGCCUACCAAAGCAACAGUUGGGAUAUAAGCACGGGUGGAGGUUUACGGUCACUUACUGGCACGUGAGGUUUUUCAGACCUUACCACGCGGACCGGCUCUCAUUCUAAUGAUCCUUCCGCAGGUUCACCUACGGAAA
rnacentral:misc_RNA from 1 species